GGCGGCAUGCCUUACACAUGCAAGUCGAACGGCAGCACGGAGCUUGCUCUGGUGGCGAGUGGCGAACGGGUGAGUAAUAUAUCGGAACGUACCCUAGAGUGGGGGAUAACGUAGCGAAAGUUACGCUAAUACCGCAUACGAUCUAAGGAUGAAAGUGGGGGAUCGCAAGACCUCAUGCUCGUGGAGCGGCCGAUAUCUGAUUAGCUAGUUGGUAGGGUAAAAGCCUACCAAGGCAUCGAUCAGUAGCUGGUCUGAGAGGACGACCAGCCACACUGGAACUGAGACACGGUCCAGACUCCUACGGGAGGCAGCAGUGGGGAAUUUUGGACAAUGGGCGAAAGCCUGAUCCAGCAAUGCCGCGUGAGUGAAGAAGGCCUUCGGGUUGUAAAGCUCUUUUGUCAGGGAAGAAACGGUGAGAGCUAAUAUCUUUUGCUAAUGACGGUACCUGAAGAAUAAGCACCGGCUAACUACGUGCCAGCAGCCGCGGUAAUACGUA
rnacentral:rRNA from 1 species